rnacentral:rRNA from 1 species
UACGUAGGGGGCUAGCGUUGUCCGGAAUCAUUGGGCGUAAAGCGCGCGUAGGCGGCCCUGUUAGUCCGCUGUAAAAGUCAAAGGCUCAACCUUUGAAUGCCGGUGGAUACUGCAGGGCUAGAGUCCGGAAGAGGAGAGUGGAAUUCCUGGUGUAGCGGUGAAAUGCGCAGAUAUCAGGAAGAACACCCGUGGCGAAGGCGGCUCUCUGGGACGGUACUGACGCUGAGACGCGAAAGCGUGGGGAGCGAACAGG